rnacentral:rRNA from 1 species
CAGCAGCCGCGGUAAUACGUAGGGUGCGAGCGUUAAUCGGAAUUACUGGGCGUAAAGCGUGCGCAGGCGGGUUUUUAAGUCAGGGGUGAAAUCCUGGAGCUCAACUCCAGAACUGCCCUUGAUACUGGGAAUCUUGAGUAUGGGAGAGGUGAGUGGAACUGCGAGUGUAGAGGUGAAAUUCGUAGAUAUUCGCAAGAACACCAGUGGCGAGGGCGGCUCACUGGCCCAUAACUGACGCUGAGGCACGAAAGCGUGGGGAGCAAACAGGAUUAGAUACCCCUGUAGUCCCUGUCUCUUAUAC